rnacentral:rRNA from 1 species
UGGGGAAUAUUGGACAAUGGGCGAAAGCCUGAUCCAGCCAUGCCGCGUGUGUGAAGAAGGUCUUCGGAUUGUAAAGCACUUUAAGUUGGGAGGAAGGGCAUUAACCUAAUACGUUAGUGUUUUGACGUUACCGACAGAAUAAGCACCGGCUAACUCUGUGCCAGCAGCCGCGGUAAUACAGAGGGUGCAAGCGUUAAUCGGAAUUACUGGGCGUAAAGCGCGCGUAGGUGGUUUGUUAAGUUGGAUGUGAAAUCCCCGGGCUCAACCUGCGAACUGCAUUCAAAACUGACUGACUAGAGUAUGGUAGAGGGUGGUGGAAUUUCCUGUGUAGCGGUGAAAUGCGUAGAUAUAGGAAGGAACACCAGUGGCGAAGGCGACCACCUGGACUAAUACUGACACUGAGGUGCGAAAGCGUGGGGAGCAAACA